rnacentral:rRNA from 1 species
AUUAGGAAUCUUGCACAAUGGGGGAAACCCUGAUGCAGCGACGCCGCGUGAAGGAUGAAGGAUUUCGGUCUGUAAACUUCUUUAGUGGGGGACGAAGAAAGUGACGGUACCCCAAGAAUAAGCCCCGGCUAACUACGUGCCAGCAGCCGCGGUAAUACGUAGGGGGCGAGCGUUGUCCGAAGUUACUGGGCGUAAAGCGCGCGUAGGCGGCUAAUUAAGUCUGAGGUGAAAGGUUCAACGCUCAACGUGAACAGUGCCUUGGAUACUGGUUGGCUUGAGUGUGGCAGAGGAGCAUGGAAUUCCUGGUGUAGCGGUGAAAUGCGUAGAGAUCAGGAGGAAUACCAAUGGCGAAGGCAGUGCUCUGGGCUAACACUGACGCUGAGGUGCGAAAGCUAGGGGAGCGAACGG